UUGUUUUCGCAUUGUGAAACGAGGCUAAAUAGGCGAAUCAAAUUGUUUCUAAUUUAAACUUAUAUUCUUGUGAUUUCAAAUACCAAAUUGAACUUCGUAUCAUGUGUAGGUAUAUCUUGACCUAGUUUCCUUAUUUUUAUACUGUUCCAACUAAUUUCUCCUAAUUCUAGAUGAAUACUGUCAGUCAUUCCAACAAGUCAACAAGACAAGAAGUCCACUCAAUCAUUUUCCAUCCAUUAGACCCUCAUGUUGUCAAAAGCAAAAAACUCAUGUUUGAAGCCCACAUGUAGUGGAAUACAAAUGUGCCGAGAUAAGGAUCUUUUCUGAAUCUCGCAAUUUUGGUGGCAUACCAUACAACAGCAUGUUUGUUAUUAUGGAUGUUCUUACUUCAGUUUAGAAGGCAACCCAGCUAAGAGAUAGAGUUUCAGAUACAUGAAGUGUGUGAAGUGAAUAACCUGCCAUGUGUAUGCACAUGUACCGGAUCUGCUUGAUGAAAGUCAAAUGCCAUACUAAAUUCAUCACCCAUAUG